GGACCAUCUGGCAACGACACCGAACUUACUGGUUCUGCAUUCACGGAGUGCAAACACAUAUAUCUAGUUGAAAGCGGGCGAGUGUGCUGAAGCUCGGGAGGCGCGUCCGAUGGUGGCCACUGCCAUCCUCGGCUCUCGACGCGUUACUUCUUGUGGCGGUCAAUUAAUAAACAAUUAUUUAGUU